UCCCUGGUAGUCCUGUGGCUAAACUCUGUACUCCCAAUGCAGGGGGCACAGGUUCAAUCCCUGGUCAGGGAA
rnacentral:tRNA from 1 species